UACGAAGGGGACUAGCGUUGUUCGGAAUCACUGGGCGUAAAGCGCAUGUAGGCGGAUGUGUCAGUCAGGGGUGAAAUCCCGGGGCUCAACCUCGGAACUGCCUUUGAUACAGCACGUCUCGAGUCCGGAAGAGGUGGGUGGAAUUCCUAGUGUAGAGGUGAAAUUCGUAGAUAUUAGGAAGAACACCGGUGGCGAAGGCGGCCCACUGGUCCGGUACUGACGCUGAGGUGCGAAAGCGUGGGGAGCAAACAGG
rnacentral:rRNA from 1 species